AUACCACUUGUUGCCUCGGCGGAUCAGCCCGCUCCCGGUAAAACGGGACGGCCCGCCAGAGGACCCCUAAACUCUGUUUCUAUAUGUAACUUCUGAGUAAAACCAUAAAUAAAUCAAAACUUUCAACAACGGAUCUCUUGGUUCUGGCAUCGAUGAAGAACGCAGCAAAAUGCGAUAAGUAAUGUGAAUUGCAGAAUUCAGUGAAUCAUCGAAUCUUUGAACGCACAUUGCGCCCGCCAGUAUUCUGGCGGGCAUGCCUGUUCGAGCGUCAUUUCAACCCUCAAGCACAGCUUGGUGUUGGGACUCGCGUUAAUUCGCGUUCCUCAAAUUGAUUGGCGGUCACGUCGAGCUUCCAUAGCGUAGUAGUAAAACCCUCGUUACUGGUAAUCGUCGCGGCCACGCCGUUAAACCCCAACUUCUGAAUGUUGACCUCGGAUCAGGUAGGAAUACCCGCUGAACUUAAGCAUAUCAAUAAGCGGAGG
rnacentral:rRNA from 1 species